rnacentral:rRNA from 1 species
CUUGGUCAUUUAGAGGAGUAAAAGUCGUAACAAGGUUUCCGUAGGUGAACCUGCGGAAGGACCAUUAAAGAAACUUCGCCUCCGGGCGGAGUCCUUCUAAACCCGUGUCUACCUUACCUUUGUUGCUUUGGCAGGCCGCCUUCGGGCGUCGGCUUCGGCUGAUAGUGCUUGCUAGAGGACCCAACUCUUUUGUUUAGUGAUGUCUGAGUACUAUAUAAUAGUUAAAACUUUCAACAACGGAUCUCUUGGUUCUGGCAUCGAUGAAGAACGCAGCGAAAUGCGAUAAGUAAUGUGAAUUGCAGAAUUCAGUGAAUCAUCGAAUCUUUGAACGCACAUUGCGCCCCUUGGUAUUCCGAGGGGCAUGCCUGUUCGAGCGUCAUUAUGACCACUCAAGCCUAGCUUGGUAUUGGGGUUCGCGGUUCCGCGGCCUCUAAAAUCAGUGGCGGUGCCGUCUGGCUUCAAGCGUAGUAAUUUUCUCGCUACGGAGUCCGGGCGGUUGCUUGCCAAAACUCCCCCAACUUCUCACGGUUGACCUCGGAUCAGGUAGGGAUACCCGCUGAACUUAAGCAUAUCAAUAAGCGGAGGAA